UACGAAGGGUGCAAGCGUUAAUCGGAAUUACUGGGCGUAAAGGGUGCGUAGGCGGUUCGUUAAGUCUGUCGUGAAAUCCCCGAGCUCAACUUGGGAAUUGCAAUGGAUACUGGCAGGCUGGAGUAUGGUAGAGGAAGGUGGAAUUCCCGGUGUAGCAGUGAAAUGCGUAGAGAUCGGGAGGAACACCAGUGGCGAAGGCGACUACCUGGCCUGUUCUUGACGCUGAGGCGCGAAAGCUAGGGGAGCAAACGGG
rnacentral:rRNA from 1 species